rnacentral:tRNA from 1 species
GCAUUAGUAGCUCAGACUCAGAGCGUCGGUCUUGUAAACCGAAUGCCGGGGGUUAGAGUCCCCCCUCAUGCU